rnacentral:snoRNA from 1 species
GAGCAAUGAUGUUACAUUUGCACUAAAUUGUGAACGAUGGGUCGUCACAUUCAUCUAAUUAAUGAUGACAAAUAGUGCAUUUGAGCUC